rnacentral:rRNA from 1 species
CUCUGUGACUCCUACGGGAGGCAGCAGUGGGAAUAUUGCACAAUGGCGCAAGCCUGAUGCAGCAACGCCGCGUGAGCGAUGAAGGCCUUCGGGUCGUAAAGCUCUGUCCUCAAGGAAGAAUAAAUGACGGUACUUGAGGAGGAAGCCCCCGGCUAACUACGUGCCAGCAGCCGCGGUAAUACGUAGGGGCAAGCGUUAUCCGGAAUCACUGGGCGUAAAGGGUGCGUAGGCGGUUUUCAAGUCAGAAGUGAAAGGCUAUGGCUCAACCAUAGUAAGCUUUUGAAACUGUUAAACUUGAGUGCAGGAGAGGAAAGUGGAAUUCCUAGUGUAGAGGUGAAAUUCGUAGAUAUUAGGAGGAACACCAGUGGCGAAGGCGACUUCUGGACUGUAACUGACGCUGAGGCACGAAAGCGUGGGGAGCGAACAGGAUUAGAUACCCUGGUAG